UGGAGGGCAGGUCUGGUGCCAGCAGCCGCGGUAAUUCCAGCUCCAAUAGCGUAUAUUAAAGUUGUUGCAGUUAAAAAGCUCGUAGUUGAAUUUCGGGAUUUGUCAGUUGGUCGGGCUUCACUGUCCGUAUUGACUUGAUGGAUUCUUACCUUCUGAAUAACCAGCAUGCUAUUAAGUUAGUGCGUUGGGGAAGCAGAUCUAUUACCUUGAAAAAAUUAGAGUGCUUAAAGCGAGCUAGUGCUUGAAUAGAUUAGCAUGGAAUAAUAAAAUAGGACGGCAUGGUUCUAUUUUGUUGGUUUCUAGGAUCACCGUAAUGAUUAAUAGGGAUAGUUGGGGGCAUUAGUAUUCAAUUGUCAGAGGUGAAAUCCUUGGAUUUAUUGAAGACUAACUUCUGCGAAAGCAUUUGCCAAGGAUGUUUUCAUUAAUCAAGAACGAAAGUUAGGGGAUCGAAGACGAUCAGAUACCGUCGUAGUCUUAACCAUAAACUAUGCCGACUAGGAAUCGGACGAUGUUAAUUUUAUAAUGACUCGUUCGGCACCUUACGGGAAAC
rnacentral:rRNA from 1 species